AACGAACGCUGGCGGCAUGCCUAACACAUGCAAGUCGAACGAGACCUUCGGGUCUAGUGGCGCACGGGUGAGUAACGCGUGGGAACCUGCCUUUAGGUUCGGAAUAACUCAGAGAAAUUUGAGCUAAUACCGGAUGAUGUCUUCGGACCAAGGAUUUAUCGCCUUUAGAUGGGCCCGCGUUGGAUUAGCUAGUUGGUGGAGUAAAGGCCUACCAAGGCGACGAUCCAUAGCUGGUCUGAGAGGAUGAUCAGCCACACUGGGACUGAGACACGGCCCAGACUCCUACGGGAGGCAGCAGUGGGGAAUAUUGGACAAUGGGCGAAAGCCUGAUCCAGCAAUGCCGCGUGAGUGAUGAAGGCCUUAGGGUUGUAAAGCUCUUUUACCCGAGAUGAUAAUGACAGUAUCGGGAGAAUAAGCGCCGGCUAACUCCGUG
rnacentral:rRNA from 1 species